GAUGGACGCUGGCGGCGUGCUUAACACAUGCCAGUCGAACGGAAAGGCCCAAGCUUGCUUGGGUACUCGAGUGGCGAACGGGUGAGUAACACGUGGGUGAUCUGCCCUGCACUUCGGGAUAAGCCUGGGAAACUGGGUCUAAUACCGGAUAGGACCACAUUUUGGAUGGUGUGGUGGAAAGUUUUUCGGUGUGGGAUGAGCUCGCGGCCUAUCAGCUUGUUGGUGGGGUAAUGGCCUACCAAGGCGUCGACGGGUAGCCGGCCUGAGAGGGUGUACGGCCACAUUGGGACUGAGAUACGGCCCAGACUCCUACGGGAGGCAGCAGUGGGGAAUAUUGCACAAUGGGCGCAAGCCUGAUGCAGCGACGCCGCGUGGGGGAUGACGGCCUUCGGGUUGUAAACUCCUUUCGCUAGGGACGAAGCGUUUUUGUGACGGUACCUGGAGAAGAAGCACCGGCUAACUACGUG
rnacentral:rRNA from 1 species